rnacentral:lncRNA from 1 species
GGAUUAAACUCUGUAGGCAAUUGUGCUACUCUUGUUGGCGGCCCUUCCCCUCUCUUCCUCCGCCACCCUAAUUUUUGCCAAAACUUGUGAGUUUCAAGAUAAUAUUUAUUUAUAAUGGCUAUAUGCCCGCACACAACACCAAUAUGAUACCUCAGGCCUCAACUCCACAACCGUUUUGGGGAAAAUUUGGACCGGAAACUGGUAAGAAAUAUCAACAGGUACACUUUUUCUUUUAUUGUACCCUGCAAAUGAAUCAUCACGGGAACAGGUUGAAUUGUUUUCCUUGUUGUUGCUAAAUCAUACAUCAGUUUCCUUUGCGUCUCAACAUAUAUUCAGUAUAUGCGAUUUAUAAAUACAUGUAUAUCUAACCUAGAUUCAGUAUUAAUAUAAUGUAUUGUUGACCUGUACAUCUGUUACAUGUCAAGCUAAAUCUGCAUAGUCCUUUUUGAUUAAAAAAUGGAUUCGAUUUUUCAAUCUAGACCGGAUGUUUAGUGGUUGGUGCCCUCUAUGAAUUAAUUAAAUGUUGGGGUCCUACUAAAAUGCGCCCGGGAGCGCCCGGGGAAAAGAAAAAGCGCCCGGAGAAGAAAAUAUAGCGCCCGGGGAACAGAAAAGGCGCCCGGGAAAAAUAUAUAGAUAUUUUAUUGGCAUGCUCAAAAGGUCUUAUUACAUGUAGGUGUUGAUAUUUGUAUAAGAGCAAUGUCCUGUUUCGGUUUACAUCCUCGUUCUUUGGUUUCUGGUCGAUAGGCUAGUUAUCUCAUUGACAAACAAAUGUGACAACAUAUACCAAUUUAUCAGUAAAUAAAAUGUGUUCAAAAAAGAACAACUAAAGAAAUUGUUUAUUUGAUUCAGUUAUUAUAUAAAGGUUAUUGAUAUUUAGUCAAUAAACGGGUAAAUGUACAGGCAAAUAUGACUACUAUUA